rnacentral:ncRNA from 1 species
CCUGUGGAGUGUCACAUCCACCGUAGUAGCGAGCUUGGGGCGAGGCGGGACACGUUGAAGCAGGAA